rnacentral:rRNA from 1 species
UCAAGAAUCUUCCGCAAUGGCCGCAAGGCUGACGGAGCAAUGCCGCGUGCAGGAUGAACCCCUUCGGGGUGUAAACUGCUUUUCUUCGGGACGAAUCCGUGACGGUACCGAAGGAAUAAGCCACUGCUAAUCUCGUGCCAGCAGCAGCGGUAAUACGAGAGUGGCAAGCGUUAUCCGGAAUAACUGGGUGUAAAGCGUCUCUAGGCGGCUUUAUCAGUUCUUGGUUAAAUCUUCGGGCUCAACCCGAAGGCUGCCAAGAAUACUUUAAAGCUAGAGAAUGGAAGAGGUAAGCGGAAUUGCCGGUGUAGUAGUAAAAUGCGUUAAUAUCGGCAAGAACACCAAAAGCGAAGGCAGCUUACUAGGACAUUUCUGACGCUCACAGACGAAAGCGUGGGGAGCG